UCCCUCCCUCCCUCCCUCUGCCUUCAUCAAAAUCUUCCCCUCUGCGUUCGUGGAUCUCUCCGCUGCCUUCAUCAAAUUUUCCCCCAAACCCCUUCCUCGCAUCAUAAUCUUUCCCUUGCUUCGUGUUCGUUUUUGCUUUGUGUCUUCUCCUGCUUGGGCUGAGCGUUGAGGUUCAGGCGACAAGGUCGAGACAGCAAGGUCGAGGCGGCGAGGUUGAGGCGUUUAACCUAAUCUUCAUCGUUUCUAAAGAGCAUCUCCUUCAGAUACUUUGAAGGACUUCAAAAGUGUAUUGGACUUUAUUUAGAAGAUGGACAAUACUUGCCUGAUCAAAUAGACCAGUUAGAUUUCUUGUACAAAAACAAUACAAGUGGUCUUCUGUUGUUAAGAGAAUACCGCUAGAUUUUCUACGUACAAGGUGACAAAUUUCGAGAAGUAGCAAACAAUUAUAUUAGGCCUCUCUUAACCAAGGGCGUUCCCUCUCUGUUCUAUGAUCUAUCAUCUUUAUACAAUCACCCAUGGAAGGAAGAGGAUGUGCUGCGUUUUGGACUUUAAGGGGUUUCUUAAAGGGUUGAAGACGACAGGAGAUGGGACAUCUUGCUGCUGGUCUUUGUAUCUUCUUUGACAAAACAAGUCAAUGAAAUGAAGGCACUGAUAUCAUUAUUGUUGCAAAAUUAUCCGGGUCAAUUGCCUUCACAAAUUGCUACAUUUCCACCAUUAUCGGUAUUAGAUCAAGGAAGUGUGCCAAACGGUGGAUGUAAUGGAGAAGAAGAACCUUAGACAUCUUUGUAUUUAAUUUUUAGUAUUGAACAUCUUUUUCUUUAAUUUUUUAUAGCAAAACUGUGGAUGCAGAGAAUUGAAAAUGGUUUGAUAGGCAUAACAUUGAAUUUUGUUUGGAGUGUGCCAUUCUCUGAAAACA